GUCGAGGGGCAGCGGGGGUAGCAAUACCUGCCGGCGACCGGCAAACGGGUGCGGAACACGUACACAACCUUCCUUUAAGUGGGGGAUAGCCCAGAGAAAUUUGGAUUAAUACCCCGUAACAUUACCAGAUGGCAUCAUUUAGUAAUUAAAGCUUUGGCGCUUAGAGAUGGGUGUGCGUCUGAUUAGGUAGUUGGUCGGGGUAACGGCCCACCAAGCCAACGAUCAGUAACUGGUGUGAGAGCACGACCAGUCACACGGGCACUGAGACACGGGCCCGACUCCUACGGGAGGCAGCAGUAAGGAAUAUUGGUCAAUGGACGCAAGUCUGAACCAGCCAUGCCGCGUGGAGGAUGAAGGUCCUCUGGAUUGUAAACUUCUUUUAUCUGGGAAGAAAUGCCAGAAUUCUUUUUGGUUUGACGGUACCAGAUGAAUAAGCACCGGCUAACUCCGUGCCAGCAGCCGCGGUAAUACGGAGGGUGCAAGCGUUAUCCGGAUUCACUGGGUUUAAAGGGUGCGUAGGUGGGCAGUUAAGUCAGUGGUGAAAUCUCCGGGCUCAACCCGGAAACUGCCAUUGAUACUAUCUGUCUUGAAUAUCGUGGAGGUAAGCGGAAUAUGUCAUGUAGCGGUGAAAUGCUUAGAUAUGACAUAGAACACCAAUUGCGAAGGCAGCUUACUACCCGAAUAUUGACACUGAGGCACGAAAGCGUGGGGAUCAAACACGAUUAGA
rnacentral:rRNA from 1 species